rnacentral:rRNA from 1 species
UAGAGGAAGUAAAAGUCGUAACAAGGUCUCCGUUGGUGAACCAGCGGAGGGAUCAUUACUGAGUUUACGCUCUAUAACCCUUUGUGAACAUACCUAUAACUGUUGCUUCGGCGGGUAGGGUCUCCGUGACCCUCCCGGCCUCCCGCCCCCGGGCGGGUCGGCGCCCGCCGGAGGAUAACCAAACUCUGAUUUAACGACGUUUCUUCUGAGUGGUACAAGCAAAUAAUCAAAACUUUUAACAACGGAUCUCUUGGUUCUGGCAUCGAUGAAGAACGCAGCGAAAUGCGAUAAGUAAUGUGAAUUGCAGAAUUCAGUGAAUCAUCGAAUCUUUGAACGCACAUUGCGCCCGCCAGCAUUCUGGCGGGCAUGCCUGUUCGAGCGUCAUUUCAACCCUCAAGCUCUGCUUGGUGUUGGGGCCCUACAGCUGAUGUAGGCCCUCAAAGGUAGUGGCGGACCCUCCCGGAGCCUCCUUUGCGUAGUAACUUUACGUCUCGCACUGGGAUCCGGAGGGACUCUUGCCGUAAAACCCCCAAUUCUCCAAAGGUUGACCUCGGAUCAGGUAGGAAUACCCGCUGAACUUAAGCAUAUCAAUA